UGCAUGAACUGGUUACUUCAGGAGUUGGAAGUGCUACAGAGAAACACUUCCAAGAUAAAGUGCUUGUGUGAGCCAAGAAGGAAGGACCCUUGUCAGCGGCACCAUGGUUAGGCUCUAAUGCCAUCAUCUUCUCUCUGUGACAGACAACAUUCAGAAGACUAAGUAUACUUUCCAAUUUCUGCAGACAGGAUUUGUUUACACAGCCUGUACUGUGGCCAAUAAGAUGAUCCCAGGAAGAAGUGACUCCAGCAGAAAGGAUCAGAAGCAGCAGGACUUGCUUUAUCACUGAAUAGCACAACUGAAGGUGCCCAACUGGAAAACACUGAAACCUUCAAGGAAACGAUUAAAAUCAGGAAGAGUCAUCUCUGAUCCUCCAGCUGAAGUCUGCCAGCUCUCGCACAGAAAGACCACUCUGUACCUGACUCUCGAAAGACAUUUUCCCCUAGCAAUAACAUUAACAUCUUACCUAUGCAAAUAUUGUCACCAGCUCCAGCACCAAGCAUCUUCUCCCCAGGUUUAUCUGCAUCCCAGGCUGCCAGCUGACUUCUAUCCCUCCCCACUGUUCUAGGUCCUCCAUGUUCACCUGAACUUCUGCAGUUUCCUGGGCCUUUCUCUCCCCCCACUUACAGUUACAAACCCAAAUAAUUUCACUAGCCAGCUUCAUUUAGAAUUCAAGUAGAAGGAGGAAGUUAUUAACCAGCCCCUCAAAAACUCUAAUUAUACUCAGUAACUCAGCUCUAUCACUGGUUAUUUUUUGAACCCCAGCCCUCCAUUACUGGUUACAGCUCAAGUACCACCAUAUUCCUUUGUUUUUCAAGACUUCUGACUCCAGACUACAGAGAAAUAAGGCAGUUCAGCAUUAGUGUGUUUUUGAUCAAUCAAGCCAGAUGACAAAUUUUACAUCUUGAAAUCUGAGAUUUUAUUCCUGUUAGUUUUCAGUAAGAGAGAAAGAUAAGUGUAGCCUAAUUUCCCUUUACUAACAAGCCCCUGGAUGACACCGAGCUGUUGGCCACAGGGCAGUGAAUCAGCAGCUUAGUUUCUUGCAAAUAUUUUUAGAAGCACCUACUACAGUUACACCUGGAUAUCAAGGCAGCAUCAAGAAAGCAUUAGCAUUACCCAA